UUGAACUGUAUGACUUGAGUGCAGAAGAGGUAAGCGGAAUUCUAGUGUAGCGGUGAAUGGGUAGAUAUUAGGAGGAACACCGGUGGCGAAGGCGGCUACUGACUGUACUGACGCUGAGUCACGAAAGCGUGGGUAGCAAACAGGAUUAGAUACCCUGGUAGUCACCGCUGUAAACGAUGAGUGCUAGUGUUGGGUAGCGAUAUUCAGUGCCGGAGUAAACACAAUUAAGCACUCCGCCUUGGGGAGUACGGUCGCAAGACUGAAACUCAAAGGAAUUGACGGGGACCCGCACAAGCAGCAGAGCAUGUGGUUUAAUUCGAAGCAACGCGAAGAACCUUACCAAGGCUUGAUAUCCCCUUGACAGAUGCAGAGAUGUAUCCUCCUCUUUUGAGGCAAGAGAGACAGGUGGUGCAUGGUUGUCGUCAGCUCGUGUCGUGAGAUGUUGGGUUAAGUCCCGCAACGAGCGCAAC
rnacentral:rRNA from 1 species